UACGGAGGAUGCAAGCGUUAUCCGGAAUGAUUGGGCGUAAAGCGUCCGCAGGUGGCUAUGUAAGUCUGCUGUUAAAGAGUGAGGCUCAACCUCAUAAGAGCAGUGGAAACUACAUGGCUAGAGUGCGUUCGGGGCAGAGGGAAUUCCUGGUGUAGCGGUGAAAUGCGUAGAUAUCAGGAAGAACACCGGUGGCGAAAGCGCUCUGCUAGGCCGCAACUGACACUGAGGGACGAAAGCUAGGGGAGCAAACGGG
rnacentral:rRNA from 1 species